UUUAUAAUAAAAUUUAGUUGGUCCAACAAAGCCUAAAUGUUUAUGUAGCUCAUUCAAACUUGUCUGUGUCCUCAAAUUGACACUGUUUUACUUCAUGCCAUAUCAGAUAAAGUUUAAGGUGUUUAUCUGUAGGAGAAAGAGCUUCUUGUCAAACAUGAAAAUAAGAGAGAAAGAGGUGGAGUUUCCUCACUGAAAUUAGUCAGUAACUCGCCGUGUCCAUUACGAACCCUCACAUUCAAUAAAGUGGAGAAUGCCAGGAUACUGCAGCAAAUGGAGUUUUGCUGAAGAUCAAAGCAACAUAAAUCAUAUUAUGCUUAUGUGCAUAAAUUAUGUCACAUAGGCUCGUGUGAUUAAACAGCACAGUCCCUCGUUUACCUGAAGUGGAACGUGAAAACAGCAGAGAAGCUACAGGCAGAACUUGCCUUAUGCGCAGAAGGGUACCCAGAAGUCUGCAAAGAUAAUUUAUAGGACAACUCCCCAAAUCACCCCACGUAGUCUUUCCUAAAAUUUCCAACAAUGCAAUUUCUUAGUACUUUUUUAAGAGGGGUUUCUCCUUUUGCAUAUUCCUCAUUUUCUCUUGCUACCACCAUAUAAGAAGUACCUUUCACCUGCCACCAAGAUUCUGAGUUAUCCCCAGCCACGUCAAACUAGGAUGAUGGUGGAUAGGAGGCAGGACUAGCUUGCAGUUCCUGCCCAGAUGCACAGAGCAGCGCGUGGAGACUCACAUAGUGAACUUUUGCUCCAAGAACUAUCACAGGAACAUAGCAGGAAAGCCGAGAGAAUCCACAGACCCUUUGAAGGAACGGAAUCACUGCUGCAGGCUCUCCAAGAUGCCAAAAAAACUAAACACCACUUUACUGGCCGAGGACUGCCUUUCCUGUGGAAGGAAAAGUUAUGCUAAGCUGAGUGCUAAAGUCAAAGAGCUGCAGAGCCACUCCUGCUGUUUUCAAUUAGCAUGCCAGUCCCAAUGGCAUGUCCGGCAGACGGUGUUUUAUUAAGGGUGGGUCAUCUCCUCCUCCAAGCCACGUGAACAGCCUGCGGUUCUACAUGCUUCCCUUGACCUUCCAGUCCCUCUGGAGUCGUGUGACUGCUGGAAGCUGAAGCCACAGCUGUCUGCCACUUGACUCCCAAAGCUCAGUGUGAUCUGCAAUCUUCCCUUGGGACAGAGAAGGAAAGCAAGUUGAUGGAAAGAAAUGUCUCUUUCUGAAAUAAAAUAGUUUCUUUUCCUUGAGCAUGUUUGAGAACUUAAAUGAAGGUAACGAGCAUACAGAGAUGUGGAAGGUUAGUCAUGUAAUAAUGCUCAGCAGGAAUCAGGUGGGAAGUUCUGGUCCUCUCAGCUAAGGGACUGGUUCUGGGCUAAAGGAGAGUGGCUCUUUACGAAUUAGGAUGGCAAUCAUACUGAAAAGCUCGGCAUAUAUGACUCUGGAGAAGAGUGAGCUGACCUGGAAUUUAGCCUAAAGAAGAGAAGGUUGAGGGUGAUUUAAAGAGGAACUCUGGAGCAGGAAAUGUCAUUAUAUUAGGAAUGAGGACCAGAUGUUCUCAAUCUUGUCAGAGCACAAAGUCGAGACAAAGAAUGACUUUAUAGAAUAAGGCAGAACUCCAUGACCGUUGUUAAACACUGGAAUGGGGUGUUCGUGGAGGCUGUGGAAUUCUCCAUAAAAAUAAUUCCUUUGUCUCAUAUGAGCAUUUGUGUGUAGGUUUGCCUUAAGAAUUAAAGAUUAAUGAAACAAUCUCUAGGGGGUCCCUUCGUGAGUGUUUUUUGUAUCACAACAGUCUUUCAGAUAAAUAAGAAAAAAGGGC
rnacentral:lncRNA from 1 species